GAAAUGUGAUAAUUAAUGUGAAUUGCAGAAUUCAGUGAAUCAUCGAGUCUUUGAACGCACAUUGCGCCCCUGGUAUUCCGGGGGGCAUGCCUGUCCGAGCGUCAUUGCUGCCCUCAAGCACGGCUUGUGUGUUGGGCUUCCGUCCCUGGCAACGGGGACGGGCCCAAAAGGCAGUGGCGGCACCAUGUCUGGUCCUCGAGCGUAUGGGGCUUUGUCACCCGCUCCCGUAGGUCCAGCUGGCAGCUAGCCUCGCAACCAAUCUUUUUAACCAGGUUGACCUCGGAUCAGGUAGGGAUACCCGCUGAACUUAAGC
rnacentral:misc_RNA from 1 species